UACAGAGGGUGCUAGCGUUGUUCGGAAUCAUUGGGCGUAAAGCGCGUGUAGGCGGUCCGGUAAGUCCGCUGUGAAAGUCGGGGGCUCAACCCUCGGAUGCCGGUGGAUACUGUCGGGCUUGAGUACGGAAGAGGCGAGUGGAAUUCCUGGUGUAGCGGUGAAAUGCGCAGAUAUCAGGAGGAACACCAAUUGCGAAGGCAGCUCGCUGGGACGUUACUGACGCUGAGACGCGAAAGCGUGGGGAGCAAACAGG
rnacentral:rRNA from 1 species